rnacentral:rRNA from 1 species
GAUGAACGCUGGCGGCGUGCCUAAUACAUGCAAGUCGAGCGACAAGACGAGGAGCUUGCUCCUCUGCCGUUAGCGGCGGACGGGUGAGUAACACGUGGAUAACUUACCUAUAAGACUGGGUUAACUUCGGGAAACCUGAGCUAUUACCCGAUAAGAUUUUGAACCGAAUGGUUCAUUAGUGAAAGGCGGUUUUUCUGUCACUUUUAGAUGGUUCCGAGCCGCAUUAGUUAGUUGGUAAGGAAACGGCAUACCAAGGCGACGAUGCGUAGCCGACCUGAGAGGGAGGUCGCCUAGACGGGAACUGAGAAACGGUCCAGAGUCUGGAGGUAGGCAGCAGUAGGGAAUCCUACGCAAGGGGCGAGAGACGGACGGAGCAACGCCGGGGGAGGGAUGAAGGUCUUAGGAUCGGAAAACGCUGUUAGUAGGGAAGAACAAAUGUGUAAGUAACUAUGCACGACUUGACGGUACCUAAUCAGAAAGCCACGGCUAACUACGUG